CACAGUCAAAUCGUACGUAUAGAAGGCAUAGCACACCACCACCCUGCUGUCGUACGCACACUACACACAAUUGCAGUGAAAAAGUAGCAAUCAUUACGUACGUGUGUGUGCGUGCGUAUUUGGCAAACAGAUUUGCAAAACCCUCUUCUAAUCUGCUUGAGCCUGGUCGACGACGUGUUUUGGCCGAUUUAUUAGCGGCAUGAUAACGAUAAAUCUCCGUACAGUUUCGGUAGCGUGGGAGAGAUUGUGAAGAUUGUGUGUGCGUGUGCCCGUUGGGGAAUGUGGAAAGCAGUUUGAAGCAUUUUAUGUGUGAGAUUCGAUGAAAACGAAAAGUGUUUCCAGCUCGAAGGUUGAAUGUUGAAUCCGAAACAACAACAAAAAGAAAAGAACCAGCAACGAACCAUCGAGACGUGUGUUGAAGGCGACCAGAAGGUGAAUCGUUCCAUCGUGUGUGGUGGAGUGAAGGCGGAACGAGAAUCUUUAAACGCAAGAUUCAUACACUCCCAAAACCGGAUGUUUAUUCUCUCCGAACGCCAGUUGGUGCGUACUGAAGCUCGCAACCCUCGUAAACAGAGUGAUUAAGUCGCGGUGAAAAGUCGCGGUCCGGAAAUAGGGAACGCGCCCCACCCGCGCGCGCCAUACGCCACAGUGCUGCAGUGCUGAAUUGCAGUUUUGCCGAAAGCAAAAAAGAAUUGAUACGUGCGCGCCACAACGGUCGGUCGAAAGGAAUGUGUUGCGUAUGCAACACAAGCGGAUAGGUGCGCGGACAAAGAAACUCUAGGGGCGGCAAAGAAAGACGCACCGAAACGAAAAACAUUAAAAAAAACAACAACACGCCACUACACUAAUCCACCCUUGGGCGUGUUUGUGUGUGUGUGGCGACGCGAUUCCCCACAUUCACACCCAUCGCGGUGAGCAGCCGAUUUCGGCGUCGUGUGUGGACAGUCAGUCAGUGCGCCGAAUCGGCCAAGUGCAGCCAUUGAUGCCAGAGUAGCAGCAGCAGCAGCAGCAGCGGUACCGAAAGUUGCGUUCCGUGACAGUCUUCGGUCGCUCAUCAUCGCCGUUGAAUCGAUUUUGGCUUUUGCCCCUACCCGUUCGUAUAAGAGGGUAGCAGCAAGCAAGCCUUUUUCGUGGGGCAAGUUUCGCGAAGCGCGAAAGAGAAGUAAGCGUGCUGUGGUCGUGUGCGCUCUUUAGCGCAACGGGGUUCAGUAAGUUCUGACCAGCGUCAGACAGCAGUAGUGCCACUGCUGUAGGUUGAAAUCGAACGCCGAAGAGACAUAGGAAAAGGAAGGUUUCCGAAACGUUGUAAGCGAACCAUAUCGUCGCAGCGGGCAACUGCGUAGUUGCGGUGCGACGUCGACCAAUAAUAAUCAACAACAGCAA